GGGAGGGUUUGGAGGGGGGGCAGCUUCUGCAGUUGUCACCGCGUCAGCUCUGGGCAUCUGCCAGAGCACCCCUCCAGGCAACUUCUUCCCACAUUCCCCUCUGAUGGACCCCAACUCUCCUCACGCCUGGCCCGUCCAGCGGGGCACAAAGAAAUCCCAGUCUCUCCGUAAACUUUGCGCUUCCAGUUAUGCCGCCCCCUCCCCUGGCCUCCCCCCUCCCCCCUUCCAGCUUCUUGGCAGGAAGGUUAGGCCACUGGCAAAAUCCUCGGCGAGAGGCAGCUGGUCACAAAUGCCAACUGUGUGUCUUGGGGCCAGUUAAGCCCUCUCAUCUGCCCAGGCUCUCUGGAGACCAUUUCAUUGCUCUCAAGGUUCCCAGGAGACCGCUGCGGACGUGGACCAUCCCCCACUCAGCCCGCACCGAUGGGAUGCUGAGCGGCGUCCUAAAAGUGCUCUUUCUCACCUCCACUUCUCAUGGUAGACUGUAAUAAUUCCGAAUUUGGAGACAGGCAGAUCUUUUUUUUUUUUUUUUUUUUUCUUCCCUCAAAUGAAAAAAAGGAGGACCAUUAGCUAGGUGAUUAGCCCUAGGUGGGAAACGAAUCGUCUCAAAUCAGAAUACUAACUUUUUGAGGAAGUCUGUGGAAGUUCUAAAGACCCACCCCAUCCCAUGACCUUUAAUUCUUUUUAGUUCUGCCACAGGGAAGCAGCCAGCGACUAAUAAAAGAUUUGAUCUUGCCAUAAUUUCCCAAGCAGGAAUGGACAAGGAACCCAAUUCUGGACAAAGGGAGAGUUGGUGGAGGCUUUUGGAAGAGAAUGAAGUAACUCUAAUAUUAUACUCAACAGACAAAGAAACAGACAAAAAUCUUCUCCGUGGGGGUUGCUAUGGCUUUGGAAGAAAACCACCUGCAAAGAAAAAUGUAUGAUAGGAAAAGAUGCAUUUCCCACUCCCAUCCUUCCUCAGUUUCUUCCCUCUCCCUGCCUUAAUAUAUAUGUUGAGGAGUUGCAUUAUAAUAAUGGCUCAUAAUACACCUUAAAACGUGAAUUAAUAAAGCAGUUGUUACUGCAGAUACUCAGUUCCUGCACAUAAACCACCUGUGUGUCCCUGUGUUCCAGUAAGACUGCAUCUGAAUGGAAUCUACUAGAGACCAGGCCUAUGCUCUUCCCAUUUCCUACAGAGACAAAUGGAUUUCAGGGGCAGGAAUGGCUAGUUCCUGUUGCCCUGUUGCUCAGUUACUUGGUCCUACACACUUACAUCUGCACAGAUGAAAGUAUUACCAGCAAGGAAACUAAGGUUCAGAAUGGAACAUUAUACUUCUUAAGCUCACAGAGUACUGGAGAAGGUGGAAUUCUAACCAUGCGUUGCCUAGGAAAACUGAUGGAGUUUUCCUUAUGCCAUUAAAGCUUCCCUAAUAGUGGACAAUUAAAAUAUCCGGACACUUACACAAUUGAACAGUGAACUGGACUGAUAAUCAGGCAACCAAGAGUCUAGGUUAGCCUCAUCAACUUGGAGAGCUUUAUUCAUCACUAGCCUCAUUGUUCACAGUGGUAAUCAUUUUUUUCCAAAUUCUAACUUGGAUACCUCUGUCACUGGAAUGUUCAUUUUAAGUACCGUGUUUUAGACUGAGAAUCUCUAAAUGGUAGGAAUUUUGUCUAAAUAUGUGAUUUGCGUAGUACUUACCUACAUAGAAAGACCUUGAAAUUGUUCUUGAUAAUGCUGACAAUUUGUCAAAUUUUAAACGUAUUUUCCUUAUUUCCCUUUUGUCUCUAUUUUAAUAUGUUCUGGAACUCUAUACAGGAAAGACCCAUGCAGUCGUGUCUUUGGAACAAGGUUCAUUGAAUGCUCCAGUCCAGAUGUCUGUAUAAAGAGAAUGAGAACUUUUAUCAUGUCUUUGGCACUUGUGGGAAAUAGAGCCCUAGUUUAAUGUAGUACAGAGUAUAGCUUUAGGAUUUUCAUAAGAUAGAUGUUUAUUAGAAUAUUUGGCAGAAGGAGGUUUGGAAAUAUUUAGGGUCAGUAGAAAAUGCAGUCCAUGACUACAGACUAGGUGGUUUUUAUACAUGCGGCUACAGAAUUUCAUUUAAGGAUUCCCUUGCUAAUUUGAAAUCUGAAUUGCCAAAGACCAACAUAGAUAUGACCAAUAAUAAUUUGUGUUUCAACUAUUUUCUAAAACCAGUUUUUGACUUAACUUUUAAGCUUCCUUUUCCUGUAAAAAAGCUCCUCUGUCACGUUGCCGCACAACAUCCUGUUAACCUAUUUUCCUGAGCUGGCAGGAAAUUGUCCACUACUGAUGUCUGUAAUGGUGAAAUACUUCUUACUGAUCUCAUCCUCUUUGAUCAGAACUUAACCUCAUCAACAUGAACUACUUAGAUGAGACUAUCAGGAAAUAUUGAGUAGGUUCCUAUUUGUUUAAAGGAUGAGGCAAAAAUUUCCGUUCCAAUGAAACAUAACAAAACUCAGACUUUCGUAUUUAAGAUACACUGCAGUGUUUACAUUCUCGCCUUCUCUCAUCAAUCAUCAAUCAGUAAAUACAUGUAUAUUGUGUGUCUGCUGUGUACCUAGCCAUUCUUCUCAGGACUAGCUUUGUUGCUCGGAAAACUAGCCAAAAAAUAGAUCUGGUUACAGUUUAUUUGUUGUCUUACCACAAUGGAUGAAAUGCUACAAAAUAGCAAAUUAAAUUAAAAACAAAUAACUUUAUGAGGGCCAAUCAUUUAUGCCCUAAUGUUGAUCAUUACAGUUACAAUUUUACAUUUCCAUGAACUGGAAACACUGAAAGGAGUAAAAACUAAGGAAAGGGAAAUUAAUUUUGGAUUUUCAACAUCAAGAAGGCAGUGCUAGUUGAGCUACAAGUAGGAUUUCUGUGUACAAAUCACUCAUUAAUUGAUUCGCUCAUUCAUGUAUUCAGUCAAGUAUACUUCCUCAGUAUUUGUAAUGUGUCAUUCUCUUUUAAAGGCUGGAGAUAGAAAGACAAGUUGCAGCCAGAAACAAAAUGACAGUAUUUAGUAACUGUAUUCCGGGGAAGGGAGAUGAUCAUAAGAUGAGAAGAACAAAAUACUGAGCAAAAGGGAGGUUGUGCUAAAUGCUGACUAUUCAGACGUUUGGCCCCAGGCCAACCCUGCUUUCCUUCAUGAUGACACUUUAGUCAGAGUAAACAAAAGCGAGCAUAUAGUUUUGAGCAAAAACAAACUCCUAUCUUUCAACCUUUUACUGACUACUAUUAUUUCUGUGUGUGAGUACUUCUGUAGAUUCAAUAAAACAAUCUGACUGUAAUAAGUUUGUUUGGCAAUAUCUUUGACCUAAACCAUACAUUAUUUUUUCUUUAGUGUAGCUAUGGGUUUAUGGUUCGCUACAUUUUAAAUGACAUGGAAGUGUCACCUUACUCAAGAAAAUAACAAUAUAAAAUAUCAAUACACAGAAAAUGAUGAAGAUAUUGAUUUUAAUUAAAUGAGUGCCUCAAUGAUUUUUUCUCAUUCUCAUUCUUUUCAUAUUUAUUUAAGCAUACUAAGGUUUCAUUUUCAACAAAGCGAAACAAUUUUGCAAUAGAAGACUUUAGAUGAUACCAUAGUUUUCAUAUGGCUAUAACACAGAAAGUAAUCUUUAGGACAACCUUUUUUUAAAACUUAUUUUAGAGAGAGAGUGAGAGCGUUUGGGGGGGGGGGCAGGGAGAGGGCCAGGGGGAGAGAGAAUCUUAAGCAGGCUUCACUCUCAGCAAGGAGCCAACGAGGGGUUCUAUCUGACUGAGCCACACAGGCACCCCAAAACAAUACUUUGUAAAGUUAUAGUCUGCUCACCUCAUUUUUCUUUUUCUGUCAUGGCUAAUUAUUUAUUACAAUACAAAGAAGACAAAAGUAUAUCUUAAACUCAAGGAAAUAGGAAGUAAGAAAAAGAUUUCUUAUAAAUAUUUUUUUUAACGUUUAUUCAUUUUUGGGAGACAGAGACAGAGCACGAGUGGGGGAGGGGCAGAGAGAGAGGGAGACACAGAAUCCAAAGCAGGUUCCAGGCUCUGAGCUGUCAGCACAGAGCCCAACGCAGGGCUCGAACUCACGAACUGUGAGAUCAUGACCUGAGCUGAAGUCAGACGCUCAACCAAGCCACCAGACACCCUAAAGAAAGAUUUCUUGAGAUCACUGCAAUACAACAGUUUGCCAUAAUUAUGCCCAGUAAAGGGUAAAGAAUACAUAUUUGAUUUCUAAUAUAAAUAUCUAGAUCUUGUUCAUGAAGAAACUGAUGAGAACCAUUAGCCACUAUGUAAAUAUGUAACUUAAGAAAUACUUCAGUGGAAAUAUUACUUAUUAAUGGCUUAUUAAGUGUUAUGGGUUGAACUGUGUCUCCUUCAAAUUCAUAUUUUGAAAUCCUAACCUUCAAUAUUUCAGAAUGUGACCUUAUUUGGAGAUAGGAUCUUCACGGAGGUAAUCAAGCUAAAAUGAGGUCAUUAGGAUUGGCAAUAAUCCAAUAUGCCUGGUGCCCUUUUAGAAAAGGGAAAUUUGAAGACAGAGAAGGACACAGGAGAACACCAUGGGAGGAUGAAGACAGAGACAGGAGUGAUGCUCUUUCAAGGCAAAUGAUGCCAGCGAUGUCCAGCAAAAUACUAGAAGCUGGCAAAGAGACAUGGAACAGAUUCAUCCUCACAGUCCUUAGAAGGAACCAAUUCUACUGACGUCUUGACCUUGGAUGUCUGCCCUCUAGAACUGUGAAACAAUAAAUUUCUAUUGUUGAAGCCA